UUUAUAAGCAUCAGUGGUAGAAUGCUCGCCUGCCACGCGGGCGGCCCGGGUUUGAUUCCCGGCCGAUGCAUUUUUUUAAAA
rnacentral:tRNA from 1 species